rnacentral:rRNA from 1 species
GGCGCAGCAGGCGCGAAAACUUCGCAAUGGGGGAAACCCCGACGAGGGAAAGCCAAGUGCCAGCACUAUGUGCUGGCUGUUUUCCUGUCUAAAAAACAGGGAGAGUAAGGGCUGGGUAAGACGGGUGCCAGCCGCCGCGGUAAUACCUGCAGCCCGAGUGGUGCUCGUUAUUAUUGGGUCUAAAUCGUCCGUAGUCGGCUGAGUAGAUGCCUGGGUAAAUCGAGGCGCCCAACGUCUCGAAUUCCAGGUAGACCGCUCGGCUAGGGAUCGGGAGAGGUGCAAGGUACUCCGGGGGUAGGGGUAAAAUCCUGUAAUCCUCGGGGGACCACCAGUGGCGAAGGCGUUGCACUAGAACGAGUCCGACGAUCAGGGACGAAGCCCUGGGGCGCAAACGGGAUUAGAUACCCCGGUAGUCCAGGGUGUAAACGCUGCAGGCUUGGUGUCGGCGAUCCUACGAGGGUGGCCGGUGCCGGAGCGAAGGUGUUAAGCCUGCAACCUGGGGAGUACGGUCGCAAGACUGAAACUUAAAGGAAU